rnacentral:rRNA from 1 species
ACAUGCCUACAACAUAGCGUCAAUGCAUUGGAUCCCAUUAGAACUCCGCAGUUAAGCGCACUCAGGCUAGAGUAGUACUGGGAUGGGUGAUUGAUCUGAAAACAGAUCCAGAAGCCUGAU